UGUGAACUCGAAGAGUAGGGCGGGACACGUGGUAUCCUGUCUGAAUAUGGGGGGACCAUCCUCCAAGGCUAAAUACUCCUGACUGACCGAUAGUGAACCAGUACCGUGAGGGAAAGGCGAAAAGAACCCCGGCGAGGGGAGUGAAAAAGAACCUGAAACCGUGUACGUACAAGCAGUGGGAGCACCUUCGGGUGUGACUGCGUACCUUUUGUAUAAUGGGUCAGCGACUUAUAUUCUGUAGCAAGGUUAACCGUAUAGGGG
rnacentral:rRNA from 1 species